UGGGGAAUAUUGCACAAUGUAGGGAACUCUGAUGCAGCGACGCCGCGUGAGUGAUGAAGGAAUUCGUUUCGUAAAACUCUGUUCUAUGGGAAGAAAAGGACUGUACCAUAGGAGAAAGCUCCGGCUAAAUACGUGCCAGCAGCCGCGGUAAUACGUAUGGAGCGAGCGUUGUCCGGAAUUAUUGGGCGUAAAGGGUGCGCAGGCGGCUUUACAAGUUGGAUGUGAAAUAUUGUGGCUCAACCACAAACGUGCAUCCAAAACUGCAAAGCUUGAGUUAAGGAGAGGUAAGUGGAAUUCCUGGUGUAGCGGUGGAAUGCGUAGAUAUCAGGAGGAAUACCGGUGGCGAAGGCGACUUACUGGACUUAAACUGACGCUCAGGCACGAAAGCGUGGGGAGCAAACAGG
rnacentral:rRNA from 1 species